GAUGAACGCUGGCGGCGUGCCUAAUACAUGCAAGUCGAGCGAACAGACGAGGAGCUUGCUCCUCUGACGUUAGCGGCGGACGGGUGAGUAACACGUGGAUAACCUACCUAUAAGACUGGGAUAACUUCGGGAAACCGGAGCUAAUACCGGAUAAUAUAUUGAACCACAUGGUUCAAUAGUGAAAGACGGUUUUGCUGUCACUUAUAGAUGGAUCCGCGCCGCAUUAGCUAGUUGGUAAGGUAACGGCUUACCAAGGCGACGAUGCGUAGCCAACCUGAGAGGGUGAUCGGCCACACUGGAACUGAGACACGGUCCAGACUCCUACGGGGGGCAGCAGUAGGGAAUCUUCCGCAAUGGGCGAAAGCCUGACGGAGCAACGCCGCGUGAGUGAUGAAGGUCUUCGGAUCGUAAAACUCUGUUAUUAGGGAAGAACAAAUGUGUAAGUAACUAUGCACGUCUUGACGGUACCUAAUCAGAAAGCCACGGCUAACUACGUG
rnacentral:rRNA from 1 species